UGGUGGUGUGGUGAUGUGAUGAUGGUGGUGUGGUGAUGUGAUGAUGAUGGUGGUGUGGUGUGAUGAUGGUGGUGUGGUGAUGGUGAUGUGAUGAUGGUGGUAUGGUGAUGUGAUGAUGGUGGUGUGGUGAUGGUGAUGUGAUGAUGGUGGCGUGGUGAUGUGAUGGUUGUGGUGUGGUGAUGUGAUGAUGGUGGUGUGGUGAUGGUGAUGGCGAUGCGAUGGUUGUGGUGUGAUGAUGGUGAAUGGUGAUGAUGGUUGAUGGUGAUGUGAUGAUGAUGGUGUGGUGAUGGUAGUGGUUGUGGUGGUAGUUAUGGUGGUGGUUGUGGUGCCAGUAGUUAUGAUGGUGGUCGAGUGGUUGUGAUGGUAGUUAUGAUGGUGGUGGUGAUGAUAUAGUGGUGAUGUGAUCGUGCAAUGGUGGUGGUGCUGGUGGUGAUAGUGACUAUGAUCUGUGAUUGUUACGAUUAUGUUGAUAAUAAGAAGUAAUGUGUAGUUAAGUAGACGUACGAAUUCAGAUUCAGGUACUUUGUUUGCCCACAAGCUACCAGGAAUAGUACGAGGAAUGCCACAAUAUAUUUAGACAUGAUUCUCCUUGGUUCAAAUACUUUGAAGGUCUAUAUAAUUGCAAAGAAAGAUUAAGCUGGUAUAGUUUCUCGUUUUCCUGGCACUUAGAAAGUAGGUUAGGUCUCAUUAAUUAUAUCCUAUGUACAAGGACUGUAUAUACGUCACAAGCCUAAUGCCGUCUCUGCUUAGGCAACAUUUAUUAAUGAAAUUUAUUGUUCACAAUGGAUGAUUCCCAGCUACAGACUAAAUUUUAAUCUAGGCAAGAAGAACAAAAUCCAUCACUACAGCUAGAAAUUAGAGCAUGUUAAAAUUAGUAAAAUUGCAAAGUUUGG